rnacentral:rRNA from 1 species
ACGCUGGCUGCGUGCUUACACAUGCAAGUCGAACGCUGAAGCCGACAGCUUGCUGUUGGUGGAUGACUGGCGAACGGGUGAGUAACACGUGAGUAACCUGCCCCUGAUUUCGGGAUAAGCCUGGGAAACUGGGUCUAAUACCGGAUACGACCUCCUGACGCAUGUUGGCUGGUGGAAAUGUGCAAUUCGACUACGUGAAGUCGGAGUCGCUAGUAAUCGCAGAUCAGCAACGCUGCGGUGAAUCAUUCCCGGGCCUUGUACACACCGCCCGUCAAGUCACGAUUCAGUAACACCCGAAGCCGGUGUCCCAAACCCUUGUGGAGGGUGCCGUAUGAUGGCAGAUG